GAUGAACGCUGGCGGCGUGCUUAACACAUGCAAGUCGAACGAUGAAGCCCAGCUUGCUGGGUGGAUUAGUGGCGAACGGGUGAGUAACACGUGAGUAACCUGCCCUUAACUCUGGGAUAAGCCUGGGAAACUGGGUCUAAUACCGGAUAGGAGCGUCCACCGCAUGGUGGGUGUUGGAAAGAUUUAUCGGUUUUGGAUGGACUCGCGGCCUAUCAGCUUGUUGGUGAGGUAAUGGCUCACCAAGGCGACGACGGGUAGCCGGCCUGAGAGGGUGACCGGCCACACUGGGACUGAGACACGGCCCAGACGCCUACGGGAGGCAGCAGUGGGGAAUAUUGCACAAUGGGCGAAAGCCUGAUGCAGCGACGCCGCGUGAGGGAUGACGGCCUUCGGGUUGUAAACCUCUUUCAGUAGGGAAGAAGCGAAAGUGACGGUACCUGCAGAAGAAGCACCGGCUAACUACGUG
rnacentral:rRNA from 1 species